CAGUCGCCGCGGGAAUACGUAGGUGGCAAGCGUUGUCCGGAAUUAUUGGGCGUAAAGGGCUUGCAGGCGGUUUCUUAAGUCUGAUGUGAAAGCCCCCGGCUCAACCGGGGAGGGUCAUUGGAAACUGGGAAACUUGAGUGCAGAAGAGGAGAGUGGAAUUCCACGUGUAGCGGUGAAAUGCGUAGAGAUGUGGAGGAACACCAGUGGCGAAGGCGACUCUCUGGUCUGUAACUGACGCUGAGGAGCGAAAGCGUGGGGAGCGAACAGGAUUAGAUACCCCAGUAGUCCCUGUCUCUUAUAC
rnacentral:rRNA from 1 species